rnacentral:misc_RNA from 1 species
AAGUCGUAACAAGGUUUCCGUAGGUGAACCUGCGGAAGGAUCAUUAACACGUAUCCAAACGUUAAAACCCCCCCCGUGAACCUUUAUGAGUGCGCCCUUGUGGGUACCCCGAGUCGUAGUGUAUGGUAAAUCAUGGGUGAGUUGGGAGUUCUUCUCAACAGGCACGAAGCAACAGCGGUAAAGCAAUAACUUGUCUGAAAGUGUCAUUUAUUGUGUAAGCCGGCGCUUAAGCGUGCGACUGGAGACCAUCACGGCCAGUGCCUGUUCCGGAUCCUCGUGGUCCCCUACCACAUAAAUUACGACGUCAGUGGUGCGAGGGCCAAGUGGCCUGCCGCACCGAACGCACAACUGUUAACAAUGGAUAUCUUGGUUCUC